CUGACACUGAGGUGCGAAAGCAUGGGGAGCAAACAGGAUUAGAUACCCGGUAGUCCAUGCCGUAAACGAUGUCUACUAGCCGUUGGGGCCUUUGAGGCUUUAGUGGCGCAGCUAACGCGAUAAGUAGACCGCCUGGGGAGUACGGUCGCAAGACUAAAACUCAAAUGAAUUGACGGGGGCCCGCACAAGCGGUGGAGCAUGUGGUUUAAUUCGAUGCAACGCGAAGAACCUUACCUGGUCUUGACAUAGUAAGAACUUUCCAGAGAUGGAUUGGUGCCUUCGGGAACUUACAUACAGGUGCUGCAUGGCUGCCGUCAGCUCGUGUCGUGAGAUGUUGGGUUAAGUCCCGCAACGAGCGCAACCCUUUUCCUUAUUUGCCAGCGGGUUAAGCCGGGAACUUUAAGGAUACUGCCAGUGACAAACUGGAGGAAGGCGGGGACGACGUCAAGUCAUCACGGCCCUUACGACCAGGGCUACACACGUGCUACAAUGGUCGGUACAAAGGGUUGCUACCUCGCGAGAGGAUGCUAAUCUCAAAAAGCCGAUCGUAGUCCGGAUUGGAGUCUGCAACUCGACUCCAUGAAGUCGGAAUCGCUAGUAAUCGCGGAUCAGAAUGCCGCGGUGAAUACGUUCCCGGGCCUUGUACACACCGCCCGUCACACCAUGGGAGUUUGUUGCACCAGAAGUAGGUAGUCUAACCGCAAGGAGGACGCUUACCACGGUGUGGCAGAUGACUGGGGUGAAGUCGUAACAAGGUA
rnacentral:rRNA from 1 species